GGGAACCUGUCACCUGCUUUAUUCUGCUCAAACGGUGCGAUCCUGGUAAACCUUGGUCUAUGCUCCGGCAAUUCAAAGAGAUCAUAUGUGAAAAGCAGCGGGGACCCAGAGCCAAGGACGGGACCGGCAUGUCCUUGCGCAGGUGUUCCGGAUUCGUUUGAAGGGCUCUGUGAUCUUAUAGAUCUGCUCUUCCGGAUGAUGACCGCGGUGCUCAGAACCUUCUGCCUUCUAUCCUUGAUGUUCCGUGGCGUAUUUCGCUAUGUUCUCACCGAUUCCCAUGUUUGCGGAGUGGAGUCCCUGGUGAUUAAUAAAUUAUAACACAGAUUUGUCUCUGGUGCCGUUGAGAGGAUGAAGUGA